GUGCUUGCUUCAGCAGCACAUAUACUAAAAUUGGAACGAUAGAGAGAAGAUUAGCAUGGCCCCUGUGCAAGGAUGACAUGCAAAUUCAUGAAGCCUUCCAUAUUUUU
rnacentral:snRNA from 1 species